GGGAAGGUGGCUCAGUGGUAGAGCACUUGCCUUGCAUUCAUGAGGCCCUGGGUUC
rnacentral:tRNA from 1 species